rnacentral:rRNA from 1 species
AUUGAACGCUGGCGGCAGGCUUAACACAUGCAAGUCGAGCGGUAACAGAGAGAAGCUUGCUUCUCUGCUGACGAGCGGCGGACGGGUGAGUCAUGCCUAGGAAUCUGCCUAGUAGUGGGGGAUAACUUGCCGAAAGGUAAGCUAAUACCGCAUACGUCCUACGGGAGAAAGGAGGGGACCUUCGGGCCUUUCGCUAUUAGAUGAGCCUAGGUCGGAUUAGUUAGUUGGUGAGGUAAUGGCUCACCAAGACCGCGAUCCGCAACUGGUCUGAGAGGAUGAUCAGGCAAACUGGGACGGAGACAAGGUCCAGACGCCUACGGGAGGCAGCAGUGGGGAAAAUUGGACAAUGGGGGGGAACCCUGAUACAGCCGUGCCGAGUGUGUGAAGAAAGUCUUAGGAUUGUAAAGCACUUUAAGUUGGGAGGAAGAGCAGUUAACUAAUAUUUGACUGUAUUGACGUUACCGACAGAAUAAGCACCGGCUAACUUCGUG